rnacentral:rRNA from 1 species
UCUCUGUUGGUGAACCAGCGGAGGGAUCAUUACCGAGUUUACAACUCCCAAACCCAAUGUGAACGUUACCAAACUGUUGCCUCGGCGGGAUCUCUGCCCCGGGUGCGUCGCAGCCCCGGACCAAGGCGCCCGCCGGAGGACCAACCAAAAACUCUUUUGUAUACCCCCUCGCGGGUUUUUAUUAUCUGAGCCAUCUCGGCGCCUCUCGUAGGCGUUUCGAAAAUGAAUCAAAACUUUCAACAACGGAUCUCUUGGUUCUGGCAUCGAUGAAGAACGCAGCGAAAUGCGAUAAGUAAUGUGAAUUGCAGAAUUCAGUGAAUCAUCGAAUCUUUGAACGCACAUUGCGCCCGCCAGUAUUCUGGCGGGCAUGCCUGUCCGAGCGUCAUUUCAACCCUCGAACCCCUCCGGGGGGUCGGCGUUGGGGAUCGGCCCUUUACGGGGCCGGCCCCGAAAUACAGUGGCGGUCUCGCCGCAGCCUCUCCUGCGCAGUAGUUUGCACACUCGCAUCGGGAGCGCGGCGCGUCCAUUGCCGUAAAACACCCAACUUUCUGAAAUGUUGACCUCGGAUCAGGUAGGAAUACCCGCUGAACUUAA